GACGAACGCUGGCGGCGUGCCUAAUACAUGCAAGUCGAGCGAAGCGGCGGAUGGGUGAGUCACGCGUUGGUAACCUGCCCUUAAGUCUGGGAUACCAUUUGGAAACAGAUGCCAAUACUGGCUACUUAAGGAUGGACCUUCGAUGCAUUAGCUAGUGGGUAAGGAAACGGCUUACCAAGGCGAUGAUGCAUAGCCGAGUUGGGAGACUGAUCGGCCACAUGGGAACUAAGACACGGCCCAAACUCCUACGGGAGGCAGCAGUAGGGAAUCUUCGACAAUGGAGGAAAGUCUGAUGGAGCAACGCCGCGUGAGUGAAGAAGGUUUUCGGAUCGUAAAGCUCUGUUGUUGGUGAAGCGGUAAUCAACCAGAAAGUCACGGCUAACUACGUGCCAGCAGCCGCGGUAAUAC
rnacentral:rRNA from 1 species